rnacentral:rRNA from 1 species
GAUGAACGCUGGCGGCGUGCCUAAUACAUGCAAGUCGAGCGAACGGACGAGACGCUUGCUUUUCUGAUGUUAGCGGCGGACGGGUGAGUAACACGUGGAUAACCUACCUAUAAGACUGGGAUAACUUCGGGACACCGGAGCUAAUACCGGAUAAUAUUUUGAACCGCAUGGUUCAAAGGUGAAAUACGGUCUUGCUGUCACUUAUAGAUGGAUCCGCGCUGCAUUAGCUAGUAGGUAAGGUAACGGCUUACCACGGGAACGAUGCAUAGCCGACCUGAGAGGGUGAUAGGCCACCCUGGAGCUGGGCCACGGUCCAGGGUCCUGCGGGAGGCAGCAGUAGGGAAUCUUACGCAGUAGGCGAAAGCAUGACGGAGCAACGCCAAGCGAGAGAUGAAGGUCUUCGGUUCGUAAAGCUGUCUUAUUAGGGAAGAACAUAUGUGGAAGUAAAUGUGCACAUAGUGACGGUACCUAAUCAGAAAGCCACGGCUAACUACGUG